AAUAGAAAAUCUUCUGUGCUUAGCUUCACUGGAGUGUCAACACUUAAUACUAGUUAUGUAGAAUUACAACUUUAUAUUUAUUACAGUAAAUACACAGGCAUGUAAGGAAAAAUUCUAGAACAGUUUUUCUUAGUAUGGUAAAAAUUUUAAUCACCAUUUCACUUUUGAAGAUCAUUCUCUCUUGCACAGAGCACUAAAUUCAGUACGAGAUCUGCUAUGAUGUUUCUCUCUUAUAUGUAACCAAGAAAUUUCCCAUGCUGUCACUAAGAAUCAGGUAUUCCUCCUGCUUUCUGCUAAAGGACCUAAAAUUAUAUUGGAAAUAUCAUCAAAGGAUAAAUCAUACUGGAUCUUCUUUUGGUUACAUUUAUAGGAGCUGCCACUCAGUGACCAUGUCAAGGGCACGUUGGCUCUCAGCCCCAGCCACUCUCCCAUGGCCAGCACACAAGGCCACCACAGCCUGGUCCUGACGUGAUACCCAAGACCGGUGGGUACGAGGGGCAUCUGGAUACAACUGGAGACACUGGUUAUUUUACCAAGGCUUUGAUUAGAAUGGCAUAUUUUCAGAUAUGAUCAGGCUGCUUUGAGAAAUUGGUGCUGACUUCAUAGAGCCAAUGAAAAACUUAGAAAGACUGGACUGGUACCUUGUCUACAAUGUUUCCUUACAGGGUUUCUGUCCUUCUGAUAAUUAAAGAAUAUCACUUUCUGACAGGCCUGGGAACCUCAAGAUAUUUUGGAACCUUGAGAAGAGAGAAAUACACUCAUUCAUACAGAUUUUACAGCCACAAUCUGAUGGAUUAACCAUGGCUUUACUAGACUCAAGGCUUUUAAAAAUCUAAAAUUUCUUAUAAAUAGGUUCCAACAAAGCUAAUUUUAAAAAAGAAGCUUAUAAGGCCAAUUAUUGCUGCACUUUAUGCAAAUAAUCAUGCCAGGUAGAUAUAAGACUAAAACUUAUUUUGCAAACAAGUCAGUCCUAUGAUUUGUCUCUGAUAAAAAUGAGAAGCUUGAGAAAGAUAAAUUAUAUUUCAACAGCAAACUAUAACACACCUGUUAUUGGAUUCCAACACUGACCAUUGUUUUUAAGUUUUUAUCAUUUGUUAUAAUCAAGACUGAAUCCUGAAUUUUUCCUGGCUUCAAUAAGUGUCCCUAAUGAACCUGCAUAUAAUAUAUUUUAAAAACUUCUUGUUAUGAUUUCCAUCAGGAAUAGGAUCUAUUUUUGAAGUACUACUUAAACUAGGAAUUAUAAUUCAAUAUAUGUUGGAGUUUCUCUUCCAUCUUGUUAAGUUCGGUACCUACUAUUUGUUUCUUAUUUUUAAAAUCAAACUGAUUAUAUCCUACCCAAUACCAAUGACAUGUUCUUUAACCUGUCUUUGUUAUGAGUAAACCGAAGACUUUUCCAUGUUUAUCAGGGACACUAUGUGAACCUCCUGAAUAUGCAUUUAUUUGUCAACAUAUUGACCACCCCUGGUUUUAUGCAUGUGUUGACAGCUGAUGCAAGAGAGUUAAUUGUUUAUUAGGUUAUCUGACUAUUCUUCUUUCUAUUUAUAGCUUCACUGCUUCUCAAUAUUGGACCAGUUUCUUAAAACUAUUUUCCAGGAAUAGACAAACCCUACCUGCAAACCAAGAAGACAGAUUUUGGCCUAUGUUUAGCAAUAUUCUCUUGCCAUGAUGGAGAGUAUCCUCUCAUGAACAACGAUUAUAAAUCUGUCAAUCACCCUAUGUAACUUCUCAAAUGAAGCAGCUAAAGCCAUAGCUGCCCAAUAAAAAUCUUUAAACUCUUUAGCCACAGUAGUAAUGGAUAACAGAAUACCCCUAGACUAAGUAUUGGUGGAACAGGAAAGAGUUUCUAUGGUAGCUAACAUAUCAUGUUGUGUUUACAUCAAUACAUCUUCUGAAGUUGAAACACACAUGAAAUAAGAAGACAACAAGCUAAUUAAUCACAACAAAUUCCCAGGGAAGAACCAGGUGCCAACUAGUUCUCAGAUAUAUUUUUCUGAAUCCCACAUAGAAUUCAAUGUAUGCCCCCAAGCCAUAUGAAAAUUAAGACUUUACCUAUUACUAAUGCUCAUUUUUGGACAUUUGGUUAUCAAAUGCUGCCUCUGAUGUUAAACCUUUAAACUGUUAAAAGAGAAACCAAUGUAUUAAUAAUGCUAAAUGUUAAUAUUGUACCAGAUAUUAGAGAAUAUCUUCAACUUAAUGCAAAAUGAUUUCAUCCUUUAGGCCCAAACCUGCACCCCUAGUCAGUAGGAAAAAGCUAGAAUGGAUGUUGCCCCUAAUCCCUCAUGACUGAAGAAUGCACAUAGAACAGGGGGGAUUUAAACCAUGACCCAAAGAUUUAGUUAAAGAAACCAAUGGCUAAAAGAAGUUAUUGAGUUUGCAGGUUGGCAGAUUAAAAAAAGAAGAAGAGGAAACAACAACAACAACAACAAAACAACAACAACAACAACAAAAA
ensembl:lncRNA LINC02431 long intergenic non-protein coding RNA 2431